rnacentral:rRNA from 1 species
UUAUCAAAAACAUGUCUCUUUGAGAUUUUUUAAUAAAGAGUUGGGCCUGCUCGGUGAUUAAUAUUUAACAGCUGCGGUAUUAUAACUGUACUAAGGUAGCAUAAUAAUUUGCUCUAUAAAUUGGGGCUAGAAUGAAUGGUUUGACGAAAAUUUGACUGUCUCUAUUUUAUUUAUUAGAAAUUAAUUUUUGUAGUGAGAAAGCUUAAAUUGUUUAAAGGGACGAAAAGACCCUAUUGAGCUUAUAUUAUUUUAUAAAUUAUAUGAUUGUUGUUUAUUUAGAAUAAUUUUGAUUGGGGUGAUCAAGGAAUAAGAUUGUUUAAAUUAACUUCCUUAAUUAAUUUGUUUUGUGGAAAAAUAAACCAAAUUUUUUGCUUAGAAGAUAAGUUACCAUAGGGAUAACAGCGUAAUUUUUUUUGAGAGUUCAUAUUGAAAAAAGAGAUUGGACCUCGAUGUUGGAUUAAAAUUAACCUUAAGGUGAAGAGGCUUUAUUUA